ACAUUGAAUAUUAGAUGGUUUAGAAUAGAGGGAAAGAAAAGUCACAGAUCAGACGACUCAUCACGGAACAAUGUCUUUAUUUCCUCACAACAAACUGUCGAGUGUGCUCUCAUUCUACAUUGUACCAUUUGGGUUUUCUUUUUCAUCUGUUUGCCCUCAAAGGAAAAUUCCACAAAACAAAAUCUAGUUUUCAAGAUCUAGAAUUUUGAAAAGUCCAGAACAUGUCACAGUAUGAUGCGUUUAGGACACUUUCUAGAAUUUUAACGUUAUACAUCUUGGAAACUUGAUCGCUGACCUGCAAAACAUUUUUAGGAUUGUUUCAACAGUGGACUAAUGAAACACAACAUUGUUUUUUUUUGUUGUGGUAUUUUCUUUUAAAUACUUUUUUUUAUUUUUUAUAUAUUUUUUAUUUGUUGAGAAAAAUGGAGAUGUUCUAUGUGCCUAUACGUUUGCUUUUCCGUUCUUUCGUUUCUCUCUUCGUUGGUCACUUUAUUUGAUCUGUAUGAAAAUAUGAAACGUGAUUUUGUUUUUCUCUCUUUGCCUCGGCCUUAGUGCAGGGUAACAGAUGAGCUAUGAAGUUCUGUCGACAUAGUCUUCUCUCUUCUGAACGACAGACAGGCAGACCAUGGCUCUAUAUUUUCUUGUAUGCUGUACAUGUGUAUUACCAUGGAGAAAGGACCGCUGAAGCAAGACAACAUGAAAAAAAUUGAGUCAGUCCCGAAUGGAAUGCUAUUCCCUAUUUCGUGCCCUACUUUUGACUCAAGCCCUAUGGACUUUGGUCAAAAGUAGUGCACUAUAUAGGGAAUAGGGUGCCAUGUUUUUUUAUUCUUCCAUUGUACAGUUCCAUAGAGCAACUGAAGGACAAAUUGCUAGUUAACUCAUUGACUGUGUGUGGGUGUGGGGAGGGUACUUUUUAUGAUAAAAUGUAAUAUAUUAUUUAGAGCGCACAUUACUAUUAUUUAUUUGGAAAAACCCAUUCAAGAUCUCAUUCUCAAUACUGUUAGGAAGGUGUCCAUCCCAUUUAAUGCCCUCUUCCUGUUGUCAUUCUCCCAUCAGCCACAUCAUGACUGCGGUAUCAAUAUCAGGACAGACUCUGGAGUCACAAGCAGUUAGUCCUAAUUUGGAUACCGUACAGGAUAGCACGUCCUCUCGGAAAAGGAAGUCACCCGUAGAUAGCUUGAGUUGCAGACUUACACAGACAUCUAAUCAUGUCACAAUUUACCCAAACUGUCUAGAUUGGCUGGAUAUUUGAAUAACAAAUGCAUUUGAUAAACUGUUAUGGAUGAUAGGCUAUAGGUUAAAAACUGUUAUGUAUGACAGGCUAUAGGUUAUAACCUGUUGUGGAUUAUAGACUAUAGGUUAUAACCUGUUGUGGAUUAUAGACUAUAGGUUAUAACCUGUUAUGGAUUAUAGACUAUAGGUUAUAACCUGUUAUGGAUUAUAGACUAUAGGUUAUAACCUGUUAUGGAUUAUAGACUAUAGGUUAUAACCUGUUGUGGAUUAUAGACUAUAGGUUAUAACCUGUUAUGGAUUAUAGACUAUAGGUUAUAACCUGUUAUGGAUUAUAGGCUGUAUGUUAUAACCUGUUAUGGAUUAUAGACUAUAGGUUAUAACCUGUUGUGGAUUAUAGGAUGUAUGUUAUAACCUGUUAUGGAUUAUAGGUUAUUACAAGAAAGGACCACACUCUUUUUACUAAGAAAACUGUGAUGACUGUUGAGAAGGUGAAAUAUCCAGAAAGAAGUCCUCACUAUAAGUUCUUUGAAUUCAUACUUAAAAAUUGUCCGCAUUUUUUGGGGGGGGAAUUGUUAACCAAAUUAGAUUUAGUGAUUGUACAAUAUUAAAAGUGUACAUUUUGUUCAUUUAAAGCGAAGAAGGGAAUAAGACAUAAUUGCGUAUCUUAUUAUUAUCUUAUUAUUAUAAAGAGUAAGAAACCUCUUCUUCUUGUCUGUUUCUAUCCACAACGUUGUAUACAAUUGCUGGUUUUGUAAUGCACUGUAGAGCAAGCAGUUCCACUGUUCAUUUUUCUUUUCUUUUUUAAAUAGAAAUGGUAUUUCGAUGGUGUAUUCUUUUUGUUUGAUAAAUAAAGUUUUGAUACAAAAUACCA